AACGAACGCUGGCGGCAGGCCUAACACAUGCAAGUCGAGCGCGCCUUCGGGUGAGCGGCGGACGGGUUAGUAACGCGUGGGAACGUGCCCUUCUCUACGGAAUAGCCUCUGGAAACGGAGAGUAAUACCGUAUACGCCCUUUGGGGGAAAGAUUUAUCGGAGAAGGAUCGGCCCGCGUUAGAUUAGGUAGUUGGUGGGGUAACGGCCUACCAAGCCUACGAUCUAUAGCUGGUUUUAGAGGAUGAUCAGCAACACUGGGACUGAGACACGGCCCAGACUCCUACGGGAGGCAGCAGUGGGGAAUCUUAGACAAUGGGGGCAACCCUGAUCUAGCCAUGCCGCGUGAGUGAUGAAGGCCUUAGGGUCGUAAAGCUCUUUCGCCUGUGAUGAUAAUGACAGUAGCAGGUAAAGAAACCCCGGCUAACUCCGUGCCAGCAGCCGCGGUAAUACGGAGGGGGUUAGCGUUGUUCGGAAUUACUGGGCGUAAAGCGCGCGUAGGCGGAUUAGAAAGUUGGGGGUGAAAUCCCGGGGCUCAACCUCGGAACUGCCUCCAAAACUGCUAGUCUAGAGUUCGAGAGAGGUGAGUGGAAUUCCGAGUGUAGAGGUGAAAUUCGUAGAUAUUCGGAGGAACACCAGUGGCGAAGGCGGCUCACUGGCUCGAUACUGACGCUGAGGUGCGAAAGUGUGGGGAGCAAACAGGAUUAGAUACCCUGGUAGUCCACACCGUAAACGAUGAAUGCCAGUCGUCGGGUAGUAUACUAUUCGGUGACACACCUAACGGAUUAAGCAUUCCGCCUGGGGAGUACGGUCGCAAGAUUAAAACUCAAAGGAAUUGACG
rnacentral:rRNA from 1 species